GCUUCGUCGAACCGCUCCAAGGGAUCAGGACGGAGGCCCGGAGCCCGCCCGUGGGAGUCCCGGCAAGGCGCAGCCGGCAGAGCCCAGAACUGCCAGCCCAGCGUGGGGGGUCGCGGCUUCCGAGGAAAUCGGGCUGGCAGCGGGGAGACGGGGCGGACCCCGACUUCAGGACCUCGGGCCGCUCAUUCCCACCCACUUCGGGGCGACCCCCGCCACUCCUGCCCCGGCCUCACGGACACUGAGAACGCGUCGGCCACGUCCAGGGCCCAGGAAGGUGGCGCCCCGCUCCCAAGCCUGCUACAGGGAACCCGGGACUCGGCCCAAGACGGGGCCUGACAGCGGCUGCGCGGCCGCCGCUCCCUCGAAGCCGAGUGCGCCUCAGAUCCCGCGAGACUGGAGUCUCCGCGCUGCGAACCCCCUCAGUGGCGAGCCCCCCGCGGUCACUGCUCGGACAAUGACCCUUGCAGUCUUCCCUGUCGGGUCCUACUCGUGCGCUGAACCGAGGUCCGCAGGCUUUUCUUCCAGUGGCCCCGCUCCGCCGACAGACCCCCCUGAACCACAGACUCGGCUUUCUGGGUGCACACGUGGCCCUUUAUUCGAAUCCGACUUUCACAGGGCUCCACAUCGUUGUGG
rnacentral:lncRNA from 1 species